GAUGAACGCUGGCGGCGUGCCUAAUACAUGCAAGUAGAACACUGAAGCUUGGUGCUUGCACCGAGCGGAUGAGUUGCGAACGGGUGAGUAACGCGUAGGUAACCGGCCGCUUAGCGGGGGCUAACUAUUGGAAACGAUAGCUAAUACCGCAUAAAAGUCGAUAUCGCAUGAUAUUGAUUUGAAAGGUGCAAAUGCAUCACUAAUACAUGGACCUUCGUUGUAUUAGCUAGUUGGUGAGGUAACGGCUCACCAAGGCGACGAUACAUAGCCGACCUGAGAGGGUGAUAGGCCAGACUGAGAUUCAGACACGGCCCAGACUCCUACGGGAGGCAGCAGAAGGGACUCUUCGGCACUGGGCGACAUCCUGACCGAGCAACGCCGCGUGCGUGAAGCAGGUCUCCGGCUCGUAAAGCUCUGUUGUAAGAGAAGAACGAGUGUGCGCGUGGAAAGUUCACCCUGUGCCGGUAACUUAAAAGAAAGGGACGGCCACCUACGAG
rnacentral:rRNA from 1 species